rnacentral:lncRNA from 1 species
AUUGUCGCAAUUUUUCUUGUUGAUUAUCUACAAUUUCGGGCAUAAAUGCUUUCUGGGUUCAUUGGGUUGUAUUUCUUGAGUUGCUAAUGAAAUUUUGGGGCGGAUUCUAGAGUCAAUUGAGCGAAAUUUGCUGAAGUUCUUUCAUGCCCAUCCAUUGCUUGUUAAAUUGUCCGAGUGAAAGUUCUAAUUGAUAGAUGAUUAGCCGGCAUUUUUCCAAGUCCGUGAGCUCAUUCCUUGCGUUUGAGAAAUCUUGAUGAAUUGCUGUUUUGUUUUGUUUCUCUGUUUCUUGCUCCAAUCCGAAUCAGUGAUAGGAGAUGAAUUUGUUUUUGCAUAUUCUGGGUGGAUUUCGUUGGUUUGGAAUUGAAACAAGUUUCUGGUAUUGCUGAUCAAUAACAACGGAAAUGUUAACUGGUGAUUGCUUCAGUUUCUCGGUAAAGAAGAUGAUAACAUUCAAAAAUCUUGAUCAGGCCCUAAAAACUUUUAAUUUCUUUCAAUUGGGCCCCUAUUUUGUUGUGAUUGAACCUCCCAAGUUUCCCCCUUAUCUUGAUAUAGCCCAAAGGAUUGAAAAGUUGAACUCAUUUCUCCCUCUUAGACUUUAAUCAUUUUUUUUUUCAAUAUUGUUUAAGUAGCCUUUUGGAUUGAUUAAUUUUUUUAUUUUAGUUCAUAAUUGUGGCUUAAUUUUUUUUUAAUGUUAUUGGGUUUAGUGUUAUGAUUUAGGAUUUGGGUAAUAAUACUUGAUUGGGUUUGUGCAAGUGAAUUGGCUUCUUUUUAUUUGGAUUUUUGGCUUGGGCCUAGGGAAUAAAAACCCACUCCUUUUGUUGGGUUUGCUUUGUUAAGAAAUGAAGGCCAACCUACCUAAAGCCUCUGGGUUUUGCGAUGGGCCUAGAGAGUCUUGGCCCAAACAAAUAAAGAAAAGGGCCCAAUGGCCUGUUAAGUCAAGUAGCCUGAUGACACAAUUUCAUUCCAGUCCCCUGACUUUUGGAUAUUUUUACUGUGGCCCUAGACAUUUCCAUUCCUUUCGAUUGAGUCCCUGGUUUAAUUGCAAAUAGGCCCCUAAACUUUAUUUUUCUUUAAUUUUGACCCCAAAGCUUUGUUAAUUUUUGCAAUCAAGUCCUUUCUUCUUUUGACUGCUUAAAUGUGGGUUGUUUAUAUGAUUUAAUUGAUUCAAUUUCACAUUUCAUUUUUAUCUUUUGUGAUUAUUUCUUGAUUAAAGUGAUGCCUUGACUCAUUUAUUAUUUUUGGAGGGUAAAUAAGUGGCUUCACUCCAUUAGAGCCCCAAUUUAAGGGAGGUACACCCUAAUCCCUUAUUUCUUGCUUUAUUUGGCUCUAUGUGCCCUAUGUGACUUCACAUGUUUAAUUGCAUGCCUCUUGGAUGUUUAUUUAUUUAUUUCAUUUAUUUAUUUAUUUGCUUUAUUAAUUUUAGCUUUGUAUAUCUAUCAUUUGAAAGGCACUUGAAUGCCAAAUUUGUAAUAGUUAGGUAUUUAUUUUUAUUAUUGUUAUUUAUUUUUUUUCCCCUUAGAUUGUAACAGGGCCUCCCCAAGUGUAAUAGUUAGGGGUUCCUUCACUUCAUUUGCCUUGCGUGAUUUGCAUGCCUAUGUGUUAUGUAUUACUUGCUUUAAUUAGGUUCUUGCAUCUAGCCGAGCAUGCUAAGUGUUAUGUGCUAUGUGUUUAUAGGUGAUUGACAUGUCUACUCGCUUUCCAUAGCCAUGAAUGAAUGUGAUGGAUGAAUGUACGUUUCCACUAGUCCAACGCUAGUAGGAAUUCAUAGAAUGGGCUAGUCCAACGCUAGACCCUUAGGGAUUUCUCUCGUGAGUCCAUACUUGCAUGUUUCACUUCAUUUCAUGCAUUUUUCGUAGUUUUUAUCAUUUGGCAUGCUUCUCAAACCCCUUUUCCCCUUAUUUUAGGUUUUUGCAUCUCAUGCUAGUUAUAGGGUACAUUUGCUUGAAGAGUCCCCUUUCGACAAGGGAAACGAGCGAGUGUGGCUACAAAAUAGCCUUAGCAAGUUAGUUCUCCCUUCUAAUCAAAGGGAAAAUUAAAGUCACAAAGUUAGGACUCCCCGUUCCCGUCUUGAUGCAUUCCUAUAGGAUUCAUGCAUCUUACUCAUUCGCUAUCACAUACACUUCUACUUUAUAUUCUAACCCUUUUUCCACAUUCUCACUUCACACUACUUUUGGACGUUUUCACUUAACUACUCACACUUUAUACCAUGUCACUCGCACACAUGCACUUUAUGUUAUUUUCACAUCAUCAUUCUUUACUCACUUUACCUUGUAAAUACAUUUGCACACCUCCACUUACAUCCUAUUAUUUUUAUUACUUUUCUCACUUCACACAAACUCACAUUUUCACAUGGCAUG